ACUGAGGCCUUGCAUAUGCAAUGCAAAGAUGGAGGAGGGGAUAAUAUUCCUCUUUCAGUGGAGCAGCAGCGUCGAGAAGCAGUCCAGAGCCGAGUAAACAUUUUGUUCCUGCAAAAAAACACAGCUCGAUGCCAAUCAGCGAUUAAUGAGGCGCAGUCGAGAUCCAGCGGCUGAGGGGAGUUAAACGGAGCUGAAUUAAGGAGCAAUAUCAUCCCUCGUGCAGAACAACCUCCAAGAUCACAACCAGUCUGGCAGCAAAGCGGCUUUUUGAGGUCACUGAAAAGCUCACUGGUCACUGAUCAGCCAAAAUGUGAUCCAUCCUCAUCCCCCAUGACCUUUGUCACAGUCAACCACAAGACUCUCUUGUCCACCCUCAAGAUUCUUGAGGUUUGCUUCCCACCUGGAAGGUUGUUCGGAUCAGAUGACAUGGAGGGGAUCGACACCUGCACCACACAGACUCUCCAUUGGUGCCCCUCUAUACUUGCUCUCUUGGUUAAGACACAAUUUCUGCCCAGAUCUCAGCACGUCUGUUAGAUAUAUCAUCAUGGAUCAUGGCUCAUCAGAUGAAAAUUAAUCCCAGCAAAACUGAACUGCUGUUCAUCCCAAAAGAUUCAUCCCCGUGUCAGGUCUCCCUGGACACUUCACUCAUCUACUUUUCUGCCAUUGCUUGCAACCUUGAGGUAACCAUGGACAAUCAAUUGUCCUUUUCCUCACAUGCAGCUAAUUUGACACGCUCAUAACUAUAUCUCCUUUAAAAUAUCAGAAGUAUCUGGACAUUUUUAUCCACACAGGCUGCUUAGGUGCUUGCUAAGCCUGGACUACUGCAACUCGCUCCUGGACAGUUUACCUUUGAGCACAAUUCAAUGAUUCAAAAUGUAGCUGCAUGACUUGUUCUCAACCUUCUAAAAUUCUCCCACAAGACUUUGACAAAUUUAUUAUUUUUUCUUCUGCAUAAACAGUGCUCAGUAUACUGUGUGUUUUAGCAAAUUGGAACUUGUUUUAUUCCCUCUAAACCAUGUUCUUAAAUAUAAUAAUUCUCUUAUAAUAGACAUUUUCACACUCUCAGUGUCAGUGUGACUUUGUUAAUUGAAGGCAGUGUGGAUGAGGUUUAGUCUCUUUAAGUCACAGCAGGAAGGCAGAGUUAUGGAGCAGUCCCUGAGACUCGGAGUCCACUUUCAGGAAGUGAGGCAGCAGGGUUUAGUCACUGCUUACUGGAAGGUGUUGAGCUCAAAUCUCAAGUCAGGUGUAAAAACCUGCCACAGAGGCAGUGCUGGAGUCGUACGACUCUAUGGAUGAAAGUAUUUACCAAACAUGUCAAUGAAGUCGCUUUAAAAACGAUGCGAUGUUGUCAGGUUUUAUUAAUCAAACAUCAGGUCUGCUGGUAU